GGGCCCGUAGCUCAGUUGGGAGAGCGCUGCCCUUGCAAGGCAGAGGCCGUGGGUUCAAAUCCCGCCGGGUCCA
rnacentral:ncRNA from 14 species